UGGAGAGUUUGAUCCUGGCUCAGAUUGAACGCUGGCGGCAGGCCUAACACAUGCAAGUCGAACGGUAGCACAGAGAGCUUGCUCUCGGGUGACGAGUGGCGGACGGGUGAGUAAUGUCUGGGAAACUGCCUGAUGGAGGGGGAUAACUACUGGAAACGGUAGCUAAUACCGCAUAACGUCGCAAGACCAAAGAGGGGGACCUUCGGGCCUCUUGCCAUCAGAUGUGCCCAGAUGGGAUUAGCUAGUAGGUGGGGUAACGGCUCACCUAGGCGACGAUCCCUAGCUGGUCUGAGAGGAUGACCAGCCACACUGGAACUGAGACACGGUCCAGACUCCUACGGGAGGCAGCAGUGGGGAAUAUUGCACAAUGGGCGCAAGCCUGAUGCAGCCAUGCCGCGUGUAUGAAGAAGGCCUUCGGGUUGUAAAGUACUUUCAGCGGGGAGGAAGGSRRUAAGGUUAAUAACCUUGUYSAUUGACGUUACCCGCAGAAGAAGCACCGGCUAACUCCGUGCCAGCAGCCGCGGUA
rnacentral:rRNA from 1 species